rnacentral:rRNA from 1 species
CGGCGGACGGGUGAGUAAUGCCUAGGAAUCUGCCUGGUAGUGGGGGACAACGUUUCGAAAGGAACGCUAAUACCGCAUACGUCCUACGGGAGAAAGCAGGGACCUUCGGGCCUUGCGCUAUCAGAUGAGCCUAGGUCGGAUUAGCUAGUUGGUGAGGUAAUGGCUCACCAAGGCGACGAUCCGUAACUGGUCUGAGAGGAUGAUCAGUCACACUGGAACUGAGACACGGUCCAGACUCCUACGGGAGGCAGCAGUA